GGCCCCAUCGUCUAGCCCGGCCUAGGACGUCACCCUUUCACGGUGAAGACUGGGGUUCGAAUCCCCAUGGGGUCA
rnacentral:tRNA from 1 species